rnacentral:rRNA from 1 species
GACGAACGCUGGCGGCGUGCUUAACACAUGCAAGUCGAACGGUGAAGGGGUCUGCUUUUGUGGGCCCUGGAUGAGUGGCGAACGGGUGAGUAACACGUGAGUAACCUGCCCCCUUCUUCUGGAUAACCGCAUGAAAGUGUGGCUAAUACGGGAUAUUCUGGGUCUGUCGCAUGAUGGGUCUGGGAAAGAUUGCGCCUUUGGGUGUUUUUGGUGGGGGAUGGGCUCGCGGCCUAUCAGCUUGUUGGUGGGGUGAUGGCCUACCAAGGCGGUGACGGGUAGCCGGCCUGGGGGGGUGGACGGUCACACUGGGACUGAGACACGGCCCAGACUCCUACGGGAGGCAGCAGUGGGGAAUAUUGCACAAUGGGAGCAAGCCUGAUGCAGCGACGCCGCGUGAGGGAUGGAGGCCUUCGGGUUGUAAACCUCUUUCGCUAGUGAAGCAGGCCUGCUCCGUGUGGGUGGGUUGACGGUAGCUGGAUAAGAAGCGCCGGCUAACUACGUG